rnacentral:rRNA from 1 species
GCUUUGUGGUUCAACUGAUUUGAAGAGCUUGCUCAGAUAUGACGAUGGACAUUGCAAAGAGUGGCGAACGGGUGAGUAACACGUGGGAAACCUACCUCUUAGCAGGGGAUAACAUUUGGAAACAGAUGCUAAUACCGUAUAACAAUGACAACCGCAUGGUUGUUAUUUAAAAGAUGGUUCUGCUAUCACUAAGAGAUGGUCCCGCGGUGCAUUAGCUAGUUGGUAAGGUAAUGGCUUACCAAGGCGAUGAUGCAUAGCCGAGUUGAGAGACUGAUCGGCCACAAUGGGACUGAGACACGGCCCAUACUCCUACGGGAGGCAGCAGUAGGGAAUCUUCCACAAUGGGCGAAAGCCUGAUGGAGCAACGCCGCGUGUGUGAUGAAGGGUUUCGGCUCGUAAAACACUGUUGUAAGAGAAGAAUGACAUUGAGAGUAACUGUUCAAUGUGUGACGGUAUCUUACCAGAAAGGAACGGCUAAAUACGUGCCAGCAGCCGCGGUAAUACGUAUGUUCCA